rnacentral:rRNA from 1 species
UACGAAGGGAGCUAGCGUUGUUCGGAAUCACUGGGCGUAAAGCGCACGUAGGCGGAUGUGUCAGUCAGGGGUGAAAUCCCGGAGCUCAACUUCGGAACUGCCCUUGAUACAGCACAUCUGGAGUCCGGAAGAGGUGGGUGGAAUUCCUAGUGUAGAGGUGAAAUUCGUAGAUAUUAGGAAGAACACCAGUGGCGAAGGCGGCUCUCUGGUCUGUAACUGACGCUGAGGCGCGAAAGCGUGGGGAGCGAACAGG